AUGUGCCCCCACAGCCCGACCCCCCCAGGCUGCCCUGCCCCACAACGUGCUGCCCCACCUCACAUGGCUCCAAGGAGUGCUGAAGCACAGCCUGGCCAGCCUGGUGUGUGUUGGUGGGGACAUGCAUUGGGACAUUCAUUGGACAUCCACUGGGACAUCUAUGGCAUAUCUAUGGAACAUCCAUUGGACAUCCAUUGGACAUCCAUUGGACAUCCACUGGGACAUCCAUUGGACAUCCACUGGGACGUCCACUGGGACAUCUGUGGGACAUCCAUUGGACAUCCAUUGGACGUUCACUGGACAUCUAUUGGACAUCCACUGGACAUCCACUGGACAUGCAUUGGGACAUUCGUUGGACAUCUAUUGGACAUCCACUGGGACAUCUAUGGGACAUCCAUUGGGACAUCCAUUGGACAUCCAUUGGACAUUCAUUGGGACACCUAUUGGACAUCCAUUGGGACAUCCAUUGGGAGAACCAUUGGACAUCCACUGGACAUCCAUUGGACAUCCACUGGGACAUCUAUGGGACAUCCAUUGGACAUCCAUUGGGGCAUCCAUUGGGACACCUACUGGACAUCCAUUGGACAUCUAUUGGACAUCCACUGGACAUGCACUGGGACAUCCAUUGGGGCAUCCACUGGACAUUCAUUAGGACAUCCACUGGACAUUCAUUGGGACAUCUAUUGGACAUUCAUUGGGACACCUAUUGGACAUCCAUUGGAUAUCCACUGGACGUCUAUGGGGCAUCCACUGGACAUGCACUGGGACAUCCAUUGGACAUCCCGUACAUUCCAUGGGGACCACGGCAGGAAACGGUGGCACGCAGAGCUCAAACCGGGCCGUGGGCAGGGCGGGAGGCACGGCGGGACCGAGGGCAGCACGGAGCGAAGGACCGGCACGGCACUGCACGGCACGGCACGGCACGGCACGGCACGGCAAUGCACGGCACGGCACGGCAAUGCACGGCACGGCAAUGCACGGCACGGCCCGCCGCCCCGGCGCUCCCGGCCCAGCAGCAUCCAUCCCGCAUCCCGCUCUCCCCCCGCCCCGCCCCGCCCCCCCCCGGCUCUCACCGGCCCCGCAUCCCCUCAGCGCUCCCCGGGCCGCGCCGCCGCCCCCCCCGGGCCCAUCGCCUCGGCGCCGCCGCUCCCCGCCGCUCCCCGCCGCCCGCCCCCUCCUUCCCUUCCUCCCGCCGCCCUCCCUCGGGUCGCGGUUCUCCCCGUCCCCGCCGCCCCGCCCCGCGCGGCCCGAACCCCCGCGUCGGGAACGGCGCCGGCCCCGCUCCUCGCGACCGACCUCCUCACAACCAACUCUCUGGCGCCGGUCCGCCGCCGCUCGGUACUACAACUCCCAGGAGCCCCCGCGAGCCGCUUCCGGGGCGACGCCCGCACGCCGCGCCGGCUCUUCCGCCGCGGUACCCGGAUGUGA
rnacentral:lncRNA from 1 species